GCCGAAGUGGUGGAAUUGGUAGACACAGUGGAUUCAAAAUCCACCGGGAGCAAUCCCUUGUCGGUUCGAGUCCGACCUUCGGUA
rnacentral:tRNA from 1 species